GACGAACGCUGGCGGCGUGCUUAACACAUGCAAGUCGAACGCAAAAGCCCAGCUUUCUGGGUGUGUUCGAGUGGAGCAGGGGAGUGUCACACGAGAGUAACGUCCCCUUCAUUUUGGUAACACCCCGGGACACUGGGGCUAAUACGGGAUAGAAGCACCUGCGGCUUGGUGGGGGUUGGAAAGUUUUUGCGGUUGGGGAUGGACUUGCGGCUUUUCAGCCUGUUGGUGGGGUAGUGGCUUACCAAGGCGUUGACGGGUAGCCUGCCUGAGAAGGUGAGCGGCCACAUAGGGACUGAGAUCCGGCCGAGACUCCUACGGGAGGAAGCAGCGGGGAAGAAUGAACAAUGGGCGGACGCCGCAUGCAGCAACGCCGCGUGCGGGAUGUCGGCCAUCUGGUUGGAACACGCUUUAGCCUGAGACGGAGCGUGGGUGAGGGUAAUGGGUAAAGAAGCACCGGCUAACUACGUG
rnacentral:rRNA from 1 species